rnacentral:lncRNA from 1 species
AGUCCUCUAUAAGGAAUGUCAAAUCAUAUUAUCUAUCAUAUCUCUUGCUAUCAAGGUCAAUGCAAAGAUGAAUAAUAUAAGGGUCCUAAAAGACAAAUAGGGUUUGGAUUGGACAAGAAAACAUCAAGUCUAUAUGCUAAUCUAUUUAACAGGCUUAUGCUAUAAGAAAAUAUUCCCAAAAUGAAGUUUGAGGAAUGGGGAAGUAGUCAUCUUUUGGAUAAAUCGCAAGCAUUGUAAUAGUUGUUUUACAUGUGAUGUGAUACAUAGCAAGUUCAAAGAGCAAAAA